UUAAGUUCAGCGGGUCUUCCUACCUGAUCCGAGGUCAACCUUGGGUAAAUAAGGCUUUUAACGGCCGGAACCCGCAGCACGCCCUGAGCGGGAUGUAAACUACUACGCUCGGAGUGACAGCGAGCCCGCCACUGGUUUUCAGGGCCUGCGGCAGCCGCAGGUCCCCGACACAAGCCGGGGGCUUGAUGGUUGAAAUGACG
rnacentral:misc_RNA from 1 species